rnacentral:rRNA from 1 species
AUUGAACGCUGGCGGCAGGCCUAACACAUGCAAGUCGAGCGGAUGAGAGGAGCUUGCUUCUUGAUUCAGCGGCGGACGGGUGAGUAAUGCCUAGGAAUCUGCCUGGUAGUGGGGGACAACGUUCCGAAAGGAACGCUAAUACCGCAUACGUCCUACGGGAGAAAGCAGGGGACCUUAGGGCCUUGCGCUAUCAGAUGAGCCUUGGUCGGAUAAACUAUUUGGUGAGGUAAUGGCUCACCAAGGCGACGAUCCGUAACUGUCGGAGAGGAUGAUCAGUCACACUGAAACUGAGACACGUUCCAGACUCCUACGGGAUGAAGCAGUGGGGAAUAUUGGACAAUGGGCGAAAGCCUGAUCCAGCCAUGCCGCGUGUGUGAAGAAGGUCUUCGGAUUGUAAAGCACUUUAAGUUGGGAGGAAGGGUUGUACGUUAAUACCGUGCAAUUUUGACGUUACCGACAGAAUAAGCACCGGCUAACUCUGUGCCAGCAGCCGCCGUAA